rnacentral:rRNA from 1 species
UCAAAAACAUUUCCUAUAGUAUUUAUUUUUUAGGUAAACCCUGCUCCAUGUUUAUAUAAAUAGCUGCAUUUGUACUAAGGUAGCAUAAUAAUUUGCCUUUUAAUUAAAGGAUAGAAUGAAUGGGUUAAUGAAAUAAUCUCUGUCUCUAUACUAUAAAUAAAAAUUUAUCUAAAAGUGAAAAAGCUUUUAUUCAAUAAAAAGACAAAAAGACCCUAUCGAGCUUAUCUAUAAAUUAAUAAUAUAGAUUUUGUUGGGGCAACAUAAAUUUUAUCAAUCAAUUUAAUUUCUUUAGAAUUAUAUCUUUAUAAAAAUCCAAUUAUAUUGAAUAAAUUAAAGUUACCGUAGGGAUAACAGGCUAAUAUUCUUAAAGAGUUCUAAUCGAUAAGAGUGUUUGGCACCUCGAUGUUGGCUUAUAAUUUCUUUAUAGGGCAGUUUCUAUAAAUGUUGGUUUGUUCAACCAUUAAAAUUUUACAUGAUCUGAGU